UGUGCAGUGUGGGAGUAACUUAAGCAUGAUGUUUUGACGUCACAGUCCUGUUGCAUUGUGGUAUACAGAGCUCUCUGAAGUGUACACAGUGUACUCGUGCACUCUGUCAGAAUCGAAGGGACGAGGGUCUGUCUAUAUAAACAUCUCUCAUCCACUUGAGGAAGUGGAGCCCACUUCAAAAUAGAGCCUUUGGAUUCCCCAAGAAGGAAGUGCUUAAGUUUGCAAGUGUGUGUCUAGAAGUGGAAGGCACCCGUGAAGACUUAAGGUGACAAUUCAUGAAGAGCAGUUACAGAUUUUGAUCAUCCCUCAAAUUUUCAAGUUUGUGUCUGGACAUUAACUCCAUCAAGUUCCCUUGAGUUUCUCUACGUUUCCUGCAGAUGCAGCACAUCAUGACUGCAGCAACAAUCAACAGAGAUCCAGCAGCAGCAGCAGAGAUCAGCACUAUGUACAAUAAAGAUGCAGAAGAUCCCGACUGUAGCUACAAACAACAGAGAUCCAGCAGCAGAAAUCAACACUAUCAGAAAGAUUGGCUCUGAAGUAAAGUGUCCAUCCAGUGCUGU